UCAAGAAUAUUCCACAAUGGGGGAAACCCUGAUGGAGCGACGCCGCGUGUAGGAUGAAGGUCUUCGGAUCGUAAACUACUUUUAUAUGGGACGAAUUCGUGACGGUACCAUAUGAAUAAGAGGUUGCUAACUCUGUGCCAGCAGCAGCGGUAAUACAGAGACCUCAAGCGUUAUCCGGAUUUAUUGGGCGUAAAGCGUCAGUAGGUGGGACAGCGGGUUGGGAGUUAAAACUUCGCGCUCAACGCGAAGAUUGCUUUCAAAACUACUGUUCUUGAGGAUGGGAGAGGUAAGCGGAAUUGCUGGUGUAGUCGUAAUAAGCGUUGAUAUCAGCAAGAACACCAAAUGCGAAGGCAGCUUACUGGAACAUUCCUGACACUGAAUGACUAAAGCGUGGGGAGCA
rnacentral:rRNA from 1 species